CUCCCACUCUACUCCUCCCCACUCCCACCCACAUCGACUGUCGACAUUGCCACCCAAAGGCCAGCCACCACUACCACCUACAUAUUGUCGUCAACGCAGCCCAAAGGCAGCAACCACCGUCAUCCACACAUUCAUGAUCUUCUGCGCUCAAACAAAGAAAGGGGAGUUUACAGAUUCAAGAAAUGGUUUCACUGUUGAAUGUUCAGAGUUUUCUUCAUAGCCACCCAUUUCCCCACCAAAUUUCCGUUUUCUUCACAAUUCUGGAGCAGCUUUUUGGAUUUUUCGAGUAGGGUUGUUGAAUUUAAUGUUGAAAUCCCAUGUAGGCAUUUUCGUGUUUUUUUGGAUUGGGUGGUGGAGGCAUUUUCGGAUUUUUUUAAAUUGGUUGGUGGAGCAAUUUUUGGAUUUUUUUUAAUUGAGUUUGAAGUUUGAAAAUGCGUAGUUACCGACAAUGGUGAUGGUGACGAGAUCGGUAUUGAUGUUCGUGAAUGAUUU
rnacentral:lncRNA from 1 species